rnacentral:miRNA from 10 species
UCUGCCUGCCUCAGCCUCCCAGAGUGCUGGAAUUAUAGGCAUGAACCACCAAGCCUGGCCAGAUUGUGUAAUUUUUAAGCUAACAAUUCUGAGAAGACAUCUU